rnacentral:rRNA from 1 species
UACGGGGGGAGCUAGCGUUGUUCGGAAUUACUGGGCGUAAAGCGCGCGUAGGCGGCUUUGUAAGUUAGAGGUGAAAGCCCGGGGCUCAACCCCGGAACUGCCUUUAAGACUGCAUCGCUUGAAUCUGGGAGAGGUGAGUGGAAUUCCGAGUGUAGAGGUGAAAUUCGUAGAUAUGUGGAGGAACACCGAUGGCGAAGGCAGCCUCCUGGGCCAGCACUGACGCUCAUGCACGAAAGCGUGGGGAGCAAACAGG